AGUGAACGCUGGCGGUAGGCCUAACACAUGCAAGUCGAACGGCAGCACAGUAAGAGCUUGCUCUUACGGGUGGCGAGUGGCGGACGGGUGAGGAAUACAUCGGAAUCUACUUUUUCGGGGGGGAUAACGUAGGGAAACUUACGCUAAUACCGCAUCCGACCUACGGGUGAAAGCAGGGGAUCUUCGGACCUUGCGCGGUUGAAUGAGCCGAUGUCGGAUUAGCUAGUUGGCGGGGUAAAGGCCCACCCAGUCGACGAUCCGUAGCUGGUCUGAGAGGAUGGUCAGCCACACUGGAACUGAGACACGGUCCAGGCUCCUACGGGAGGCAGCAGUGGGCAAUAUUGGACAAUGGGCGCAAGCCUGAUCCAGCCAGACCGCGUGGGUGAAGAAGGCCUUCGGGUUGUAAAGCCCUUUUGUUGGGAAAGAAAAGCAGCAGGUUAAUACCCCGCUGUUCUGACGGUACCCAAAGAAUAAGCACCGGCUAACUUCGUG
rnacentral:rRNA from 1 species